rnacentral:rRNA from 2 species
AGACCCGAAACCCGGUGAUCUAGCCAUGGGCAGGUUGAAGGUUGGGUAACACUAACUGGAGGACCGAACCGACUAAUGUUGAAAAAUUAGCGGAUGACCUGUGGCUGGGGGUGAAAGGCCAAUCAAACCGGGAGAUAGCUGGUUCUCCCCGAAAGCUAUUUAGGUAGCGCCUCGUGAAUUCAUCUCCGGGGGUAGAGCACUGUUUCGGCUAGGGGGCCAUCCCGGCUUACCAACCCGAUGCAAACUGCGAAUACCGGAGAAUGUUAUCACGGGAGACACACGGCGGGUGCUAACGUCCGUCGUGAAGAGGGAAACAACCCAGACCGCCAGCUAAGGUCCCAAAGUCAUGGUUAAGUGGGAAACGAUGUGGGAAGGCCCAGACAGCCAGGAUGUUGGCUUAGAAGCAGCCAUCAUUUAAAGAAAGCGUAAUAGCUCACUGGUCGAGUCGGCCUGCGCGGAAGAUGUAACGGGGCUAAACCAUGCACCGAAGCUGCGGCAGCGAACGUAUCACCCAAGACAACUUUACGGAGUUGACGAUUGACGGAGCGAAGCGACGUCAAAGCGUUCAUUAAAGUCGAGUUGGCUUAGGGAUACGUUCGUUGGGUAGGGGAGCGUUCUGUAAGCCUGUGAAGGUGUGUCGUGAGGCAUGCUGGAGGUAUCAGAAGUGCGAAUGCUGACAUAAGUAACGAUAAAGCGGGUGAAAAGCCCGCUCGCCGGAAGACCAAGGGUUCCUGUCCAACGUUAAUCGGGGCAGGGUGAGUCGACCCCUAAGGCGAGGCCGAAAGGCGUAGUCGAUGGGAAACGGGUUAAUAUU